GCUCAUUCGAUCAGUGCCACCGGCGUGCCACGCUUCGCCGCAAACCCCGCCGCGUCUAUAUGACGCACUGCCUGAUCACUCCCCGUCACACAUCACGCACACACUCCUCGCCACUCCCCACAGCGUCCCAACCGCCCGCCCCUCCGCCAUCCUUCCUCCCCGCCGGGAUCAAAGAUUCAAGAUGUCAAACAGAGCCACACAUUGGUGUUAUGCGUGCCGUCGGCCAAUUCGUCUUCGUGGACAAGAUAUAAUCUGUCCCAACUGCAAUGAUGGCUUCAUACAAGAGAUCAGUGAGAUAGGAGGUGCUUUGAACAACUACGGUAUGUUUGGGCCACGCUUCGAUGAUCGCCUAGAUGGACGAUCUGGAAUGAUGGAUGCUAUGUCUGCCCUCAUGCGUCGACGGAUGGCAGAAAUGGGCAGCAAUCCUGUGUUUGAUCCUAAUGCAGCUUGGGCAAGUACCACACAAGGAAGGCCGUCCCCAAUUGGCCCUAGGCUGAUAUUCGGCGGCAGCAUGCCUGCUCAGGGGAGCAAUGACAGCGGAGUAAAUGUGCUUGUCAGGGGAGGCCGCAGAAUCGGCACUGACCGUCCAAACUUCAGCGGCUUCCUUGUCGGCGGCACCAGCCUCGAAGCUCUAUUCGAGCAGCUGCUAUUGCAGACCGGCAACCGUCAAGGACCAGCGCCUGCUUCGCAGUCCGCAAUCGACUCCAUGCCGGUGGUGAAGAUAACCCGCAGGCAUCUGAGCGAUGAUCCAGUCUGCCCAGUCUGCACGGACAGAUUUGAAGUUGGCUCGGAGGCGAGGGAGAUGCCGUGCAAGCACCUAUACCAUGCCAGUUGCAUCAUCCCUUGGUUGGUUCAGCACAACUCCUGCCCAGUUUGCCGCCACCCGCUGCCGCCGCAGCGAGGAUCAGACAGCAAUGCAGCCCGCCCACAACCUUUGGCCCACGCCGGCGAAGCCGUGAGCCGCGGGGUUGCCGGAGCCGGAGCCGACCCUGCGCCUGUCACGAGGAACGGCGACGACGAUGGAGGGAGCCCUUUCUCGUUCCUCUGGCCAUUCGGGUCGUCGAGCCCCGGUCCCAGCUCUUACCAGUACGGAGGCGGCGGGGGUGGGCGGCCUGCGGUUUACGACGACGACCCUGGCCAGAUAACCUAUUCCGAGUGGCACUACGACCCGUGACACUCCCUCCCAGAGUUCCUGCUCCAAGCUGUAUGCGUGGUGUGGAGUUUAUAUAUAUAUAUAUAUGAUGAAUCUGUGAUGGGUGCCUGUAAGUUCACCUUAUGUUGGCUGGAGCUGUGUGUAAAUGUAAGCUGUCUACUGAGCAGUGAACUAUAUUCUGUAGUGAAGUAUACCGGUUCUAGCUGAAAUUGUAUUAUCACAGGAUGAUGAGGAUCUGUGAAGAGUUUGAUCGUUCCUGCGUUGUCGCACAAAAGAAACGUGCCAGCGAGCGAGGCAGGGAGAUGCCAUUUUGUCCUGCUACCACUACUUGUUUAGUCAGGCCGCCCAGACUUAUCUAUCUCACGUUCACCAAAAUUCCAAACACAUGUCGAGGACGAGGAGGGCCUCUUUGACCGGAGGCAGAGAGGCCGCUGCUCAAACCCGUCGCCCCGCCAGAGCCAUAGUGGCCGGCUAGCUACCGCGUUAUCUCUUUGCCCGCUUCUCCUCCUCGUUUCUCGGCUCCGACUCCGGCCAGCGCCCGCCGGCAGCCAUGGCUUGCUCCGCCCAUCUUCUCUCGCAGAGCCUGUACCAACCCCACCGCUCCUGCCCGGUCCCGUCCAAGCACCUCCGGUUCCAGGCCCAACCCGCGGCGGCGUUUUCCGCCGGCGUCAGCUCCAGCUUCAGCACCAGGAGCCGACGGUCUCCAAGCGUAAGAGUCGCCGCGUCGGCCGACCAAGGGAGGAAGAAAAUCGAGCUUACGUAUGACGCACAAGCCAAGUUUAACCAGCUAGCGGACCAGAUUGACAAGGAUGUGGGGAUUACACGGCUCAACCUGUUCUCACCUUGCAAAAUUAAUGUCUUCUUGAGGAUAACCGGGAAGAGACCAGAUGGGUUCCAUGACCUGGCUUCUCUGUUUCACGUGGUUAGUUUGGGUGAUACUAUCAAAUUCUCACUGUCGCCAAGUAAGAGCAAAGAUCGGCUAUCAACCAAUGUUGCAGGUGUCCCAGUUGAUGAGAGUAACUUGAUCAUCAGGGCACUUGAUCUUUACCGCAAGAAAACUGGCACUGAUAAGCACUUUUGGAUACACCUUGAUAAGAAGGUCCCAACUGGUGCUGGUCUUGGUGGAGGAAGCAGUAAUGCUGCAACUGCACUAUGGGCUGCUAACCAGUUUAGUGGUGGCAUUGCUUCAGAAAAAGAUCUUCAAGAAUGGUCUGGUGAGAUUGGAUCAGAUAUCCCCUUCUUCUUUUCACGAGGAGCAGCAUAUUGUACUGGUAGGGGAGAGAUUGUCCAAGAUAUUCCGAACCUGUUGCCAGAGAAUCUGCCAAUGGUUCUGAUAAAGCCACCUGAAGCAUGCUCAACCGCUGAAGUUUACAAGCGACUCCGGUUAGAUCAGACUAGUCAAGCUGAUCCUUUGGCUUUGCUCAAGGAGAUUACGCAAAAUGGGAUAUCACAAGAUGUCUGUGUAAAUGAUCUAGAGCCUCCAGCUUUUGAGGUGUUGCGAUCACUAAAGAAGUUGAAGAAACGAUUCAUUGCAUCCAAUAGGGGAGAUUACAGUGCUGUUUUUAUGUCAGGGAGUGGAAGCACAAUAGUUGGAAUUGGUUCCCCAGAUCCACCUGCGUUUGUGUAUGACGAUGACGACUACAAGGAUGUUUUUGUGUCAGAGGCUCGCUUUCUCACUCGUGAGGAGAACGAGUGGUACAGGGAACCAAUGUCAUCGAAUGCCACGUUUAGCAAAGAAGAUUCACUGUCAGAGUCAGCACCAGUCAUGGACUGACCGAGUGAGGUUCUGUAUUUGGUCUCAGUUUUGUGGCUGUGGUACACAGGUGUGGAUUUUUGUUCAAUCCAUGUUGACAUGAGAAGAGCAGCUACACCAUCAAGUUUGUUGAUAAGAAAAUUUGACUUUGUAAAGGGAAACGGUAAUUAAAUUAAGCAAAUCCUAGAACUAACUACUCCCUCCGUCCGACAAUGGUCUUAGGGAGUAAGUAUUUCAUAGGUAUCUAUCACCAGCAUGCGCAGUAAGGAAUCACAAUUGUUUCCAGAUCACUUGGCAAGAAGAGUUGGUGCAUUCUGUAUGCGAGAAAAAACAGCAGGUUUGGUUCUACGUGUAUAUGAGGG
rnacentral:rRNA from 1 species